UUUGACAUAAAAACAUCAAUAUUUCCUUUAAAAUUUAAUGGUAGAUUUUUCUUCCUCAGUGAGAUGUUAAGAAAGUAGACGGUUAGAAAUUUAGUCAAA